rnacentral:lncRNA from 10 species
CAGACUUGGGUUUUUCCAUGCCAUAAAUUAUGUUUCUUAUCUACAUUAUCAAAGCUGAUUCAACACCACAAACAACGUUCCUGUCUGCUGGGAAUGGGGAAAAUACAAGGAAGUGGAAGAAACUCCUUUAAAAGUCAAUCGGAUCCACAAGAUGAAGAAUGCCAUUGUGUGAGUACAGAUUUGAACCCUGUUGCUAAUCACUGGAUGACCCUUUGGGCUAUUUAUCAAAAGGAUCUGCGCCUUUUCUAAGCCUAAACUCGAGAGUCAAUGAUUAUCCUUUUGUCACAGUCUUUUCUCCAUACUUUGUCCUAUUUUUUUCUCCUACAAAAACCAAACACAUUAGCCCAGCAUAGUUGUGCAUGCCUGUAGUCCCAGCUACUUGGGAGGCUGAGUUGGGAGGAUCACUGAAGCCCAGAAGGUGGAGGUUAUAGUGAGCUGAGAUCGUGCCACUGUACUCCAGCCUGGGCGUCAGAGCGAGACCCCAUCUCUAUUUAAAAAUAAGAAGAAGAAGAAAGAAAGAAAGAAAGAAAAUAAGAAAUUAUAGGCCGGGCAUGGUGGCUCACACCUGUAAUCCCAACACUUUGGGAGGCCGAGGCAAGCUGACCACCUGAGGUCAGGAGUUCGAGACCAGCCUGGUCAACACGGUGAAACCCUGUCUCUACUAAAAAUACAAAAAUUAGCUGGGCGUGGUGGUGGCACACGCCUGUAAUCCCAGCUACUUGGGAGGCUCAGGCAGGAGAAUUGCUUGAAUUCAGGAGGCAGAGGUUGAAGUGAGCUGAGAUUGUGCCAUUGUGCUCCAGCCUGGGCGACAAGAGCGAAACUCUGUCUUGGGGAAAAAAAAAUAUACAUAUAUAUAUUUUUUUCAUAUGUGUGUAUAUAUAUAUAAAAAACCCAAACAUCUACUGAUUGUUUGAUCUAGUUAUCAUAUAUUGAUUUAAA